GAUGAACGCUGGCGGCGUGCCUAAUACAUGCAAGUCGAGCGAACGGACGAGAAGCUUGCUUCUCUGAUGUUAGCGGCGGACGAGUGAGUAACACGUGGAUAACCUACCUAUAAGACUGGGAUAACUUCGGGAAACCGGAGCUAAUACCGGAUAAUAUUUUGAACCGCAUGGUUCAACAGUGAAAGACGGUCUUGCUGUCACUUAUAGAUGGAUCCGCGCUGCAUUAGCUAGUUGGUAAGGUAACGGCUUACCAAGGCAACGAUGCAUAGCCGACCUGAGAGGGUGAUCGGCCACACUGGAACUGAGACACGGUCCAGACUCCUACGGGAGGCAGCAGUAGGGAAUCUUCCGCAAUGGGCGAAAGCCUGACGGAGCAACGCCGCGUGAGUGAUGAAGGUCUUCGGAUCGUAAAACUCUGUUAUUAGGGAAGAACAUAUGUGUAAGUAACUGUGCACAUCUUGACGGUACCUAAUCAGAAAGCCACGGCUAACUACGUG
rnacentral:rRNA from 1 species